AUUUGAGGUCUGGCCUGCCCACUGAAUAAUUUUAAAGGGCCGCGGUAUAUUAACCGUGCGAAGGUAGCAUAGUCAAUAGUCUUUUAAUUGGAGGCUUGAAUGAACGGUCGGACAUAGGGAAGUCUGUCUUCGGUUGAUUAAGAUGAAUUUAACUUUUGUGUGAAAAGGCAUUAAUAUUUUAAGGGGACGAUAAGACCCUAUAAAACUUGAUGAUUAAGCUGAUCUUCGUGAUUUAGGGGUAAUGUGGGGCUUAGGUAAGUUCAUUGUGCUGGGGCGGCAGGAAUAUAAUUAACUAACUGUUCUUAUUUAUAAAAUAGUUUUAAUUAGAGAGUGACCCUGAAAUUUCGGGUUGUAAGAUUAAGUUACUUUAGGGAUAACAGCGUUA
rnacentral:rRNA from 1 species